rnacentral:rRNA from 1 species
UGGGGGAAUAUUGCACAAUGGGGGAAACCCUGAUGCAGCAACGCCGCGUGAAGGAAGACGGUUUUCGGAUUGUAAACUUCUGUUCUUAGUGAAGAAUAAUGACGGUAGCUAAGGAGCAAGCCACGGCUAACUACGUGCCAGCAGCCGCGGUAAUACGUAGGUGGCAAGCGUUGUCCGGAAUUACUGGGUGUAAAGGGAGCGCAGGCGGGAGACCAAGUCAGCUGUGAAAACUACGGGCUUAACCUGUAGACUGCAGUUGAAACUGGUUUUCUUGAGUGAAGUAGAGGUUGGCGGAAUUCCGAGUGUAGCGGUGAAAUGCGUAGAUAUUCGGAGGAACACCGGUGGCGAAGGCGGCCAACUGGGCUUUAACUGACGCUGAGGCUCGAAAGUGUGGGGAGCAAACAGGAUUAGAUACCC